ensembl:lncRNA
GGAGAAUGUGCCCUACGAGGAGUGACUGAAGGAACUGUGGAUGUGUUCGGUCUGAGGAAAAGGAGGCUGAAGGGGGACCUCACUGCUCUCUUCAAAUAUCUGAAAGAAUGCCCAUUUCUGCUUUAAGUCUGGUGGUAUCCUUCUUUUUCUGGAAUUUAGAGGAAGCUAACCACCAAAUAAGAUUGGUAAUGUGACGAGUAACAAGAGAAAAGGAUUCAUGGAGAGAGACAAAAUCUGAAGACUUUCUUAAAGCAAUUGAAAUAUGAAAUAACUACGCUGUGAUCUGGAAAUAAAUUAAGAGAUUCAGAGUGAAAUUCAGCAACAUAGGACCAAAACACAUUGCUGUCAUCCUAAAAUGAUUGUCGCAAGGAAUGAAAAAAACUGUAUCAUCUAUUUGUCAGUAGCUGUGAAAGGUCAUUAGUCAUACACUGGAGCUUGAAAGAGUAUUCCAUAUAUGCCUCAGUCUCCCCACAAGCCUAAGUAGAACAGUUUUGGACGGCUACAUAAUCAGUGAGUUUGACGUAUAAUGGAUCUCAGAGUAGGCUUAUGAAAUAUGCAAAAAAGUAUGAUGCAACUCCUUAAUGUACCCAUUUUUGAGAUUGAAUGAGUUUUAAUUAAAAUAUACAUGGAGUUAGUAACGGGGGAAUAUCUACAGAAGUGGAGACUAGAUUGUUUCAUUUAAGUUUGCAAAAUAAAAGCGAAAUGGUCUGUGUAGACAGGCUACCUGAUGUACUUCUCCUUACACCAGGGAAGAAAAGAAUCACUGGAGUUACAUAAGAAUUAUGCAAACAGCGGAAAAAAAUUAAAGCCAGAAGGUGCUCUGAAUAACUCAACACUGGAAAUUAGAAGAAGGCUCCUUAUCAUUAAAGCAGCAAAAGCAAAGAACAGCCCUCCAGUCAGGCAAAUAAAGUUACCCUUAAUUAGUUUCAAGACAAAGUGAUCAAGAUAAAAGGAGUUAUAAAACCUCAUUGCUCGCAAUAGCCCAGAUCCAGUCCUCUGCU